AUCAUCCGGCGGUGUGAACAAGCAAUUUCCUCUUCUCCUGUUCAGCUUUAGGAAAAGAGAAAAAGCUCCAUGAAUGUGUCUCUAGGGAUUUGGUUUGCAAAAUUAAGAGGUAUGAGUCACCACCCAGAAUCUGAACUGACCAGUCUGCCCACUUAGAGCUGGCAAUCUUUGGUCAGACUUUUCCUGAGCAGAGACCAGGUGCUCUAGACGGAUCGACUCUCCCUCCCAUUCAUAUGUGGAAACCUACCCCCCAAGGUGAUGGCAUUAGGAAAUGGGGCCUUUUGGAGGUGAUUAGGUCACAUGGGCAGUGCCCUCAGUAAUGGGAUGGGAUUGAUGUCUUUAUAAAAGGGACACGGGCAUGUGAACUUGCACUCACUCUCUACCAGGUAACAAGACUGAGAGGGUGGCCAUCCACAGGCUGGAAGAGGACCCUCAUCAAAAUCAGACCCUGUUGGCACCCUGAUCUCGGACUUCCUCCAGAACUGGCUCCAGCCCCACGUGGGACUGUGCUGCUGUGUCUCAGUAGACAGACCCACCACGCGUGCCCCCGAGCCUUGACGUGGCACUGGGCCAACUAGGUGUCCACAUGGAAACAAAAAGUGUGACGGGACCCCCAUCACCCACCAUCCACGAAAAUCCACACCGGUGGGUUGCAGAUCCAAUAGGAAAGGCACUGUGAAGAGAGUGACAAGACAAAACUGAGGGAGAAGAUAUUAAUCGCACAGACAUCAAUAAAUAAUUCUUAUCCAGAAUGCACAAGCCCUAUAAAUCAAUAAGGAAAAGGCACAUAAAAGCAUCAGAAGCAUCAAGAAGACACACACCUUCACAGAAAAAGAAAUGCCAGUGGCCAACUCCAAAGGAAACGUGAAUUAAAACCGCAGUGUGACACCACUGUGGAGCCUCCAGAACUCGAGGUGACAAUGACCGUCGAUGAGGAUGUGCAGACGACCCGAGUGUGUCCUGCUGUCAGAGCGAGUGCACGGCCGCUCAGGAAAACUGCUGAGCAAGCACACCCACUGACCUCUCCAAAACCAAGGACACGGGUUUUCCAAAAGAAAUGUUCUGGCAUGUUCACAGCAUCAUUAUUUAUAAUGGCUGCAAAGUGGAACAACCCAGAUUUCCAUCCACAGAAAAAUGGUGCAGGGAUGUGUACGUUCACACGUGGGACCACUCUUGGUGGUGACGCUGACCAGCACAGCCCCUGAGGUGUCCGACUCCAAAGCAUGCUGAGGCUCAAAGGAGGCCGACUAUGAGAUCGUAGAAAAUACACAUAUUGGUUUCUGCCCUGUUCCUGGCACAGAGCUAUUGAAACCCUUGUAAAUUCCUAAGUGAUAAGAGUGCCAGGACCAUCUUUUGUUCUAAUGAGGCAACUCCGGGGAGGCUUUUGGUUGGGGAUGGUCAUCAGGAAGACCAGCCAUGAUUAGAAGCUUGCAAUUUUCAACCCCAGCCCCCCAUCUUCCAGAGAGGAGAGAGGGGCUGGAAGUGGAGUUAAUGGUCCAUCAUGCUUAUGUGAGGAAGCCUCCAUAAAAUCCCAGUAGUAUGGGGUUCAGAGAGCUUCCAGGUUGGUGAACACAUGGAGGUGCAGGGAGAGUGUCACCCUGGACAGGGUAUGGAAGCUCCAUGCCCUUCCCACAUACCUCACCCUAUCCAUCUCCCUUAUCUGGCUGUUCAUCUGUACCCUUUAUCACACCCUCUUACAAUAAACUG